rnacentral:lncRNA from 1 species
CUAUUUAUGAGGUUUUGCAUGACAUUUUGAUUCUUUCCUUACAUUUUCUUUAUAGAUAUUCAAGAAUUUUAUGAGGUGACACUACUAAAUUCCCAAAAAAGUUGUGAACAAAAGAUUGAAGAAGCCAAUCAAGUUGCACAGAAAUGGGAUAAGACAUCUAUUCUUGCUUCAUGCCAUGACAGUCUUCAAAAAUCUGCAGAGCAAAACCAAGGCAAAUGCCCAGCCCAGAAUUGUUCAGUGGAAGCCCCUGCUUGGAUGCCUGUACAUCACUGUACUGUAAGUUUGAUUAUUCCAAGAUUUGCCAAAAAGAAGGAGAAAUGUUUUUA